rnacentral:rRNA from 1 species
AGUUUGAUCCUGGCUCAGGAUGAACGCUGGCGGCGUGCUUAACACAUGCAAGUCGAGCGAGCACUGGUUCAGAUUUCUUCGGAUUGAAGGACCUUUGACUGAGCGGCGGACGGGUGAGAACGCGUGGGGAACCUGCCCCAUACCGGGGGAUAACAGCUGGAAACAGCUGCUAAUACCCAUAAGCGCACGAAGAGGCAUCUCUUUGGGUGAAAAACUCCGGUGGUAUGGGAUGGACCGCGUCGGAUUAGCCAGUUGGCGGGGUAACGGCCCACCAAAGCGACGAUCCGUAGCCGGCUGAGAGGGCGACCGGCCACAUUGGGACUGAGACACGGCCCAAACUCCUACGGGAGGCAGAGUGGGGAAUAUUGCACAAUGGGGGAAACCCUAAUGCAGCGACGCCGCGUGAGUGACGAGUAUUUCGGUAUGUAAAGCUCUAUCAGCAGGGAAGAAGACGACGGUACCUGACUAAGAACCCCGGCUAACUACGUGCCAGCAGCCGCGGUAAUACGUAGGGGGCAAGCGUUAUCCGGAUUACUGGGUGUAAAGGGAGCGCAGACGGCUGUGCAAGUCUGAAGUGAAAACCUUGGGCUAACCGAAGGAUUGCUUUGGAAACUGUAUAGCUUGAGUACCGGAGGGGUAAGCGGAAUUCUGGUGUAGCGGUGAAAUGCGUAGAUAUCAGGAAGAACACCGGUGGCGAAGGCGGCUUACGGACGGUAACUGACGUUGAGGCUCGAAAGCGUGGGGAGCAAACAGGAUUAGAUACCCUGUAGUCCACGCCGUAAACGAUGAAUACUAGUGUCGGCAUCUAAGAGAUGUCGGUGCCGCCCAACGCAUUAAGUAUUCCACCUGGGGGAGUACGUUCGCAAGAAUGAAACUCAA